GACGUAGGGCGCGGGCGUUGUCCGGAUUUAUUGGGCGUAAAGAGCUCGUAGGCGGCUUGUCGCGUCGGCUGUGAAAACCCGUGGCUCAACUGUGGGCGGGCAGCUGAUACGGGCAGGCUGGAGUUCGGUAGGGGAGACUGGAAUUCCUGGUGUAGCGGUGAAAUGCGCAGAUAUCAGGAAGAACACCCGUGGCUAAGGCGGCUCUCUAGUACGGUACUGACGCUGAGACGCGAAAGCGUGGGGAGCGAACAGG
rnacentral:rRNA from 1 species